rnacentral:rRNA from 1 species
GACGAACGCUGGCGGCGUGCUUAACACAUGCAAGUCGAACGGAAAGGCCCUGCUUUUGUGGGGUGCUCGAGUGGCGAACGGGUGAGUAACACGUGAGUAACCUGCCCUUGACUUUGGGAUAACUUCAGGAAACUGGGGCUAAUACCGGAUAUGAGCUCCUGCUGCAUGGUUGGGGUUGGAAAGUUUCGGCGGUUGGGGAUGGACUCGCGGCUUAUCAGCUUGUUGGUGGGGUAGUGGCUUACCAAGGCUUUGACGGGUAGCCGGCCUGAGAGGGUGACCGGCCACAUUGGGACUGAGAUACGGCCCAGACUCCUACGGGAGGCAGCAGUGGGGAAUAUUGCACAAUGGGCGGAAGCCUGAUGCAGCAACGCCGCGUGCGGGAUGACGGCCUUCGGGUUGUAAACCGCUUUCGCCUGUGACGAAGCGUGAGUGACGGUAAUGGGUAAAGAAGCACCGGCUAACUACGUG